UCCUACGGGAGGCAGCAGUGGGGAAUUUUCCGCAAUGGGCGAAAGCCUGACGGAGCAAUACAGCGUGAGGGAAGACUGCCUAUGGGUUGUAAACCUCUUUUUUCAGGGAGGAAUAAAAUGACGUGUACCUGAAGAAUAAGCAUCGGCUAACUCCGUGCCAGCAGCCGCGGUAAGACGGAGGAUGCAAGUGUUAUCCGGAAUCACUGGGCGUAAAGCGUCUGUAGGUGGUUUAAUAAGUCAACUGUUAAAUCUUGAGGCUCAACUUCAAAAUCGCAGUCGAAACUAUUAGACUAGAGUAUAGUAGAGGUAAAGGGAAUUUCCAGUGGAGCGGUGAAAUGCGUAGAUAUUGGAAAGAACACCGAUGGCGAAAGCACUUUACUGGGCUAUUACUAACACUCAGAGACGAAAGCUAGGGUAGCAAAUGGGAUUAGAUACCCCAGUAGUCCUAGCCGUAAACUAUGGAUACUAGAUGUUGAACAGAUCGACCUGUGCAGUAUCAAAGCUAACGCGUUAAGUAUCCCGCCUGGGAAGUAUGCUCGCAAGAGUGAAACUCAAAUGAAUUGACGG
rnacentral:rRNA from 1 species